GAACGCACAUUGCGCCCUUCGGUAUUCCGUUGGGCAUGCCUGUUCGAGCGUCAAUUUAAUCAUUCAAGCUCUGCUUGGUGUUGGGUGUUUGUUCCGCCUCAGCGCGUGGACUCGCCUUAAAUUCAUUGGCAGCCGGUAUGUUGGCUUCGUGCGCAGCACAUUGCGUCGCGAUUCUGGCAGGCCUCCUCCCAUUAAGCUUCUUUUAAGUUUGACCUCGGAUCAGGUAGGGAUACCCGCUGAACUUAAG
rnacentral:misc_RNA from 1 species